GAAAAUUUAGUGAAUUUCACGUUACUAUUUCAUAGUAAAAAUGUUUAGUCUUCU
rnacentral:tRNA from 1 species